rnacentral:rRNA from 1 species
GACGAACGCUGGCGGCGUGCUUAACACAUGCAAGUCGAACGGAAAGGCCCUGCUUGCAGGGUACUCGAGUGGCGAACGGGUGAGUAACACGUGGGUGAUCUGCCCUGCACUUCGGGAUAAGCCUGGGAAACUGGGUCUAAUACCGGAUAGGAGCCAUUUUUAGUGUGAUGGUUGGAAAGUUUUUUCGGUGUAGGAUGAGCUCGCGGCCUAUCAGCUUGUUGGUGGGGUAAUGGCCUACCAAGGCGGCGACGGGUAGCCGGCCUGAGAGGGUGGACGGCCACAUUGGGACUGAGAUACGGCCCAGACUCCUACGGGAGGCAGCAGUGGGGAAUAUUGCACAAUGGGCGCAAGUCUGAUGCAGCGACGCCGCGUGGGGGAUGACGGCCUUCGGGUUGUAAACUCCUUUCGCUAGGGACGAAGCUUUUUGUGACGGUACCUAGAUAAGAAGCACCGGCUAACUACGUG